UACGGGGGGAGCAAGCGUUGUUCGGAUUUACUGGGCGUAAAGGGCGCGUAGGCGGCCAGCACAAGUCAGUUGUGAAAUCUCCGAGCUUAACUCGGAAAGGUCAACUGAUACUGUGCGGCUAGAGUGCGGAAGGGGCAACUGGAAUUCUUGGUGUAGCGGUGAAAUGCGCAGAUAUCAGGAGGAACACCGGUGGCGAAGGCGGAUCUCUGGGCCUUACCUGACGCUGAGGCGCGAAAGCUAGGGGAGCGAACAGG
rnacentral:rRNA from 1 species